rnacentral:rRNA from 1 species
AAUCCAUAGGUUAAUGAGGCGAACCGGGGGAACUGAAACAUCUAAGUACCCCGAGGAAAAGAAAUCAACCGAGAUUCCCCCAGUAGCGGCGAGCGAACGGGGAGGAGCCCAGAGCCUGAAUCAGCAUGUGUGUUAGUGGAAGCGUCUGGAAAGGCGCGCGAUACAGGGUGACAGCCCCGUACACAAAAGCGCAUGUGCUGUGAGCUCGAUGAGUAGGGCGGGACACGUGGUAUCCUGUCUGAAUAUGGGGGGACCAUCCUCCAAGGCUAAAUACUCCUGACUGACCGAUAGUGAACCAGUACCGUGAGGGAAAGGCGAAAAGAACCCCGGCGAGGGGAGUGAAAAAGAACCUGAAACCGUGUACGUACAAGCAGUGGGAGCACAGGUUUACCUGUGUGACUGCGUACCUUUUGUAUAAUGGGUCAGCGACUUAUAUUCUGUAGCAAGGUUAACCGUAUAGGGGAGCCGUAGGGAAACCGAGUCUUAACCGGGCGUUAAGUUGCAGGGUAUAGACCCGAAACCCGGUGAUCUAGCCAUGGGCAGGUUGAAGGUUG